rnacentral:tRNA from 1 species
GCCAGUGUGGUUUAUUGGUUUGAGCACUGGACUAUGACUCUGCAGACCAGGGUUGGAAUCCCAGGUUGGCC